rnacentral:tRNA from 2 species
GCCCAGGUGGUGAAAUUGGUAGACACACUACUUUGAGGGGGUAGCGCCCGAAAGGGUGUGCUGGUUCGAAUCCAGUCCUGGGCA